rnacentral:rRNA from 1 species
AUUGAACGCUGGCGGAAUGCUUUACACAUGCAAGUCGAACGGUAGAGGGGGCAACCUCUCGAGAGUGGCGAACGGGUGAGUAAUAUAUCGGAACGUGCCCAGUCGUGGGGGAUAACGUAGCGAAAGUUACGCUAAUACCGCAUACGAUCUACGGAUGAAAGCGGGGGACCGUAAGGCCUCGCGCGAUUGGAGCGGCCGAUAUCAGAUUAGGUAGUUGGUGGGGUAAAGGCUCACCAAGCCAACGAUCUGUAGCUGGUCUGAGAGGACGACCAGCCACACUGGAACUGAGACACGGUCCAGACUCCUACGGGAGGCAGCAGUGGGGAAUUUUGGACAAUGGACGCAAGUCUGAUCCAGCCAUUCCGCGUGCAGGAUGAAGGCCCUCGGGUUGUAAACUGCUUUGUACGGAACGAAAAGGCUCUGGUUAAUACCUGGGCUCAUGACGGUACCGUAAGAAUAAGCACCGGCUAACUACGUG